UCCUUCUCUCUUUUUCUUUUCUUUCUUCUUCUCUUCUCCCCUUCCUCUUCUUCUCCUUUCCCGUUUUUUCUUUUCUGUCUGCUGGAGACUAGAAAAAUCCAGCCCAUGUGCUGGAAAUGAGCCAUGGAGAAGCUGCCAAGUGUCAACCAAUUUACAAUUUGGUUCUUUAACUUUUAAAACUUAUAAUUUCACCCCAACACUAGAAAAAUGUUACUUUUAAGUCCAUAAAUAUUUUUUUUUACCCACAUACAUUUUGAGUAAAAAUUUCCAAAUCAAAACACUUUUAAAUAAAAAUUUUACUAAAGAUAAUAUAUAAAUAUCCUUUAUAUUCUUAAAUACCA
rnacentral:misc_RNA from 1 species